rnacentral:rRNA from 1 species
GGCGACCGGGUGAGUAACACGUGACUAACCUACCUCCGAAUGGGGAAUAACUCCGGGAAACCGGGGCUAAUACCGCAUAACACCGCAAGGUCAAAGCAGCAAUGCGUUUGGAGAGGGGGUCGCGGCUGAUUAGCUAGUUGGCGGGGUAACGGCCCACCAAGGCGAAGAUCGGUAUCCGGCCUGAGAGGGCGCACGGACACACUGGAACUGAAACACGGUCCAGACUCCUACGGGAGGCAGCAGUGGGGAAUUUUGCGCAAUGGGGGAAACCCUGACGCAGCAACGCCGCGUGGAGGAUGAAGCCCCUUGGGGCGUAAACUCCUUUCGAUCGGGACGAUAAUGACGGUACCGGAGGAAGAAGCACCGGCUAACUCUGUGCCAGCAGCCG